UACGUAGGGUGCGAGCGUUAUUCGGAAUUAUUGGGCGUAAAGGGCGCGUAGGCGGCCCUGUAAGUCAACGGUGAAAUCCCUCGGCUCAACCGAGGACGUGCCGUUGAUACUGCAGGGCUCGAGGCCGGGAGAGGGUAGUGGAAUUCCCAGUGUAGCGGUGAAAUGCGUAGAUAUUGGGAGGAACACCGGUGGCGAAGGCGGCUACCUGGACCGGUUCUGACGCUGAGGCGCGAAAGCGUGGGGAGCAAACAGG
rnacentral:rRNA from 1 species